UGUGGCAGCAGUAAGGCUGCGUGACUUCUGAGGCUGGCUCAUAAGGGCUCUGUGAUGCAGGUUCUACCCUGCUCUCCUUAGCCAUUUGCUCUGGGUGAAAGCCAGCUGCCCUGCAGGAGGCUGCAAUACUGAGGCUGCCAUGCUGUCAGGAGGCCCAGGCCACAGUGGGGGGCCACAGGUUCUGGGGUGGCUCGUGAGUGACAGCAGUACUGGUAUGCUGGUGAGUGCCUCAGCAGGAGCUCCCUCUGUCCCCCUACCAACUCCCCGAUGUCUGGACGGCACCAGAGCCCGCCUGGGAGGCCACGAGCUAACACUCUCAAGAGGAAAACAGGGGGAUCAAACCAAUGACCCAAGGGCCUACAGCUAAGAACUGCUGGAGCCAGGCUCUGAACUGAGCUCUGCCUGACUCCAGAGGUGGUUUCUACCACCAGGCAAUACAACAGGGAGACACGCAGGUGUGUCAGAGAGCAGUCCUCACAGUGCGAGCACAGAAACCAGAGGCCAAGGCUGAAGAUUUUCCUGGACUCGCGGUGCUGCCCAGGAAUCUUCUGAGAAAACCUGUCAGUUGGUAAAGCCACGUGGAGGCGGGGCUAACAAAAUCUGGAAAUGUCUUCACCAGUUCCAAAGUACACACAAACAUUACUUGCCCUCUCUGGGGGUCAACGUUCUUUAUGAUUUUUUUCUCUCCAGGAAAAUAUUAGUUCAUUUAUAGAAACUAAACAUUACAUGUGGAGGGAAAAUGGAAAACGUGGCAUUCUUGGCCUUUUUUCUCCACAGACACAGAAACUGAGAAGGUUUCUCCAUUUCCUUUCUCACAGCCUAUUUGUUGGUGUGGAACUGCCUGUGAAGUCAUUCUGCAGGGGUGGAAAGUGGGGGCCAGCUCUCUGUGGGCAACAGGGACCAUCCCAGAGACAAAGGGCAGCCUCAGCCCACAGACCACUUCGGACUUGAAUCAAGGCCUCAAAGGGCGAGACCUGGGCCACUGUCAAUGUGAGGGCAGGUAGGCUGGGUAGAGGGGUAGAGGCGUGGGCGCUGCCUAGAAGAGGGCCAGAGAGACCGCCCGGCACAUUGGUCUUGCUCCCACUGCCUCCUUUCAGCUCCUCAGUGUACCCAUCCUUGCCCCUGGCAGCUUUUGCUGCCUGGUUCCCCGACUAAAAUGUGAGCUUUGUGGGGAAGGUUCUUGCCUUGCUGGGCACCUGGCUCACAGCAAGUCCUUGGCCUGGAAGUCUUGGGUGAAUGAAUGAAUGAACAUGUCUUAGGGCCUCUCCUUUGCAGGUGUGGGGGAUGUGCCUACUGGAAAGGGCACCGAGCUGAAGCCUAAACCCCCUCCUGAGGAGCCAGGGAAGCCUGCGUUCCUCCCAUUCCCGGGACUGCAAGAGGCACAUUCCUGUCCCUGAGUCUGGUCAGGCUCCUGCCACGCAGCUCAGUCUGGCUGCCAGGUCCAGAAAGGCCUCCCUGGAGCUGCCCCUCUGGCCCCACCCUUCCCAGGACCCCAGGCCACCCCACAGCUGCAGCAGCACCCACUCUCUGUCUUCUGAGGCUGCUAGUGGGAAGCUGGGACCCCCGAGUGUGUCUGAAACCUUCCAGGCACUCCUCGACCCUCUAGUGAUCAAUGAAAACCUUCACAUCCUGCUUCCAGGGCUGAAGCCAGGGAUUUGGAAAAUUGGUGGAAAACACUCCUAUGAGCUGGGGCUUGCUCUGCUGUGGAAAACUGCCAGCAUCAGCACUUCUCCCAAGGCUGUGCCGAGUCAGCAGUCAGCCCACUCUGGAGCUGCCUCUGAGGACCAGGUGCCUACAGGACCCUGUAAGGAGCUUGAAGAGUUGUGGCUGACGGAGGGAUUUCUGUCCUGGGCUCUAGGAAUUCUAGACUGGGCCCUUCCUCAAGGAGCUUUCAGUCUGGCGGAGCAGACAGACAUGGGCAAAUAAGCCCACAACUAACUGUGCCAUCACUGCAGAAGGAAGUGCCACGGAGGAGCAUGAGGGCCAGUUGCAGGAAGGAGCCAGGGCCAGCAUGUGCCUGUAAAAGCCAGAUAGUAAAUAGUUCACGCUCUGCAGGCCACAGGGUCUUUGUCCCAAGCACUCAACUCUGCCACUGCUGCAUGAAAACAGCCACAGGCGAUAUGUCAACCAAAGAGGGGUGGUUGUGCCCAUAUGAAAACAGAGGGUGGAUCUGUCCCACAGUUUGCCACAGCCUGGCUGUUAGACGGCCUGACCUGAUUGGGGGUGGGGGUGAUAGUGGGGAGAAGGCUUCCCCGAGGCAGUGAUAUUUAGCUAAAAGCUGCAGGCUGAGGCAAUGAUGGAGGCAGAAUCACAAUAUGACAAUUAUGAUAAUCACAUCACCAUGAUCAAGUUCCACCUAACACGUGUGUUCUAUGUUGCGCACUGUGCUAAUAACAACACUACCCUGUGAAGGAGGAAGAUUUUAUGCCCACUUUACAGAUAGAGACACUGAGGCUUGGCAGUAUGCUGAGUAGUCUGUUCACACAAUUCAGCUGCAUUUUUUGC
rnacentral:lncRNA from 1 species